UUUGCACACUGCUAGAACCCAGCAGAUACACAAUGAAAGUUGGGCGUACAUGUUGUGCUAAAUUAACUCAAGAUUUCGCUAACACCAUCAGAUGUAGUUUGAUAGUACAUCAAUGAAUGGAGUUUGAUAGUAGAACUUGGAACAUUU